AAGUCGUAACAAGGUUUCCGUAGGUGAACCUGCGGAAGGAUCAUUAACAAAUUCUACAUUUACCACCUGUGAACCGCCCCUCGGGGAGUUGAGCGUGCUCGACACAUUAACUAUUUGAAUGUCUAUUUUAAGAUUCAAACGAAACAACUUUUAACAAUGGAUCUCUUGGCUCUU
rnacentral:misc_RNA from 1 species